rnacentral:rRNA from 1 species
UACGUAGGGGGCUAGCGUUGUCCGGAAUCAUUGGGCGUAAAGCGCGCGUAGGCGGUCAGGUAAGUCCGGUGUGAAAGUCAUAGGCUCAACCUAUGGAUGCCGCUGGAAACUGCCUGACUUGAAUCCGGGAGGGGCGAGUGGAAUUCCUGGUGUAGCGGUGAAAUGCGCAGAUAUCAGGAGGAACACCAAUGGCGAAGGCAGCUCGCUGGAACGGUACUGACGCUGAGGCGCGAAAGCGUGGGGAGCGAACAGG